UACGUAGGGAGCGAGCGUUGUCCGGAUUCAUUGGGCGUAAAGAGCUCGUAGGCGGCUUGGUAAGUCGGAUGUGAAACCUCCAGGCUCAACCUGGAGUCGCCAUCCGAUACUGCCAUGGCUAGAGUCCGGUAGGGGCCCACGGAAUUCCUGGUGUAGCGGUGAAAUGCGCAGAUAUCAGGAGGAACACCGAUGGCGAAGGCAGGUCGUCUGGGCCGACUGACUCGUGAGGAGCGAAAGCGUGGGGAGCGAACAGG
rnacentral:rRNA from 1 species